rnacentral:lncRNA from 1 species
AAUGCUGUUCAUCGACUACAACUCGGCAUUCAACACCAUAGUACCCUCCAAGCUCAUCAUCAAGCUCGAGACCCUGGGUCUCGACCCCGCCCUGUGCAACUGUGUACUGGACUUCCUGACGGGCCUCCCCCAGGUGGUGAGGGUAGGCAACAACAUCUCCACCCCGCUGAUCCUCAACACUGGGGCCCCACAAGGGUGCGUUCUGAGCCCUCUCCUGUACUCCCUGUUCACCCACGACUGCGUGGCCAUGCACACCUCCAACUCAAUCAUCAAGUUUGCGGACGACACAACAGUGGUAGGCUUGAUUACCAACAACAAUGAGACGGCCUACAGGGAGGAGGUGAGGGCCCUCGGAGUGUGGUGUCAGAAAAAUAACCUCACACUCAACGUCAACAAUACUAAGGAGAUGAUUGUGGACUUCAGGAAACAGCAGAGGGAACACCCCCCUAUCCACAUCGAUGGAACAGUAGUGGAGAGGGUAGCAAGUUUUAAGUUCCUCGGCGUACACAUCACAGACAAACUGAAUUUGUCCACCCACACAGACAGCAUCGUGAAGAAGGCGCAGCAGCGCCUCUUCAACCUCAGGAGGCUGAAGAAAUUCGGCUUGUCACCAAAAGCACUCACAAACUUCUACAGAUGCACAAUCGAGAGCAUCCUGGCGGGCUGCAUCACCGCCUGGUACGGUAGUGAGGUCUGCACAACGCAUCACCGGGGGCAAACUACCUGCCCUCCAGGACACCUACACCACCCGAUGUUACAGGAAGGCCAUAAAGAUCAUCAAGGACAACAACCACCCGAGCCACUACCCGUUCACCCCGCUAUCAUCCAGAAGGCGAGGUCAGUACAGGUGCAUCAAAGCUGGGACCAAGAGACUGAAAAACAGCUUCUAUCUCAAGGCCAUCAGACUGUUAAACAGCCACCACUAACAUUGAGUGGCUGCUGCCAACACACUGACACUGACACUGACUCAACUCCAGCCACUUUAAUAAUGGGAAUUGAUGGGAAAUGAUGUAAAAUAUAUCACUAGCCACUUUAAACAAUGCUACCUAAUAUAAUGUUACAUACCCUACAUUAUUCAUCUCAUAUGCAUACGUAUAUACUGUACUCUAUAUCAUCUACUGCAUCCUUAUGUAAUACAUGUAUCACUAGCCACUUUAACUAUGCCACUUUGUUUACAUACUCAUCUCAUAUGUAUAUACUGUACUCGAUACCAUCUACUGUAUCUUGCCUAUGCUGCUCUGUACCAUCACUCAUUCAUAUAUCCUUAUGUACAUAUUCUUUAUCCCCUUACACUGUGUAUAAGACAGUAGUUUUAGAAUUGUUAGUUAGAUUACUUGUUAGUUAUUACUGCAUUGUCGGAACUAGAAGCACAAGCAUUUCGCUACACUCGCAUUAACAUCUGCUAACCAUGUGUAUGUGACAAAUAAAAUUUGAUUUGAUUUGGAUAAUCACUUUAUAAUCA